GUGAGGGCGCGCUCCUCUCUUCCUGCUUUCCUGACCCCUCUCCGCCAUUUAAAGAAACAGUACCGGGGGGCGGGCCGAGCGACGCAGCCGGGACGGUAGCUGCCUCGCCGACCGGAGGAGCCAUCUUGUCUCGUCGCCCGGGGAGUCAGGCCCCUAACUCGAAGAAGCCCUGGCGCGCCCUCCCCCCCUCCCCGGUCUGGUAGGGCGAAGGAGCGGGCGCGCGGUCGAUCGAGCGAUCGGUUGGCGGCUCUUUCUCCUGCUCUGGCAUCCCGCUCUUGGGGCGCAGGCCCGGCCGCCGCCGCGGCGCGCGCCCGGUGGCCGUUGGCGGUCGCGCCGCGUCUUUCUUCUCGUCCGCAGAACUCGGGCGGCGGCCUAUGCGUUUGCGAUUCGCCGAGGAGUCGUCCGGGUGGUCGGCGGGGGCGGGCAGCUGCUCCGCCCCGCUGCCGGAGAGGCGGCGGCAGCAGCGGCGGCGGCGGCGGCUGCUGGGGAGGCGGGGGUGGCCGGGGCCGGCCUGGACGCCUGGCGUCAUCCUGCGGGGCCUGCAAGGACCCAGCUGGGGGGACAGGAAGGGGCCGGAGGAUGGUUGGUGGUCGGCUUUCUCCUUUGCCUUUUCCUCCUCAUGCCGCCUUAGUGAGGAGCGAGCGCUUUGGCGGCAGCUCCGGGGUGGAGAGACGAACGCCGGAGUCGGAAGACGAGCUGGCUUUGCUUCCGGGCCUGGUCCCCAGCUGGCCGAGUGACCUUAGGCCGGGCACUCUGUCGCCUGUGUGCGCCUCAGUUUCCUCCUCUGCCUAUCGUGUGUGGGAUUGAAAACGCUUUGGUCAUGGCAAAGCGGACGUGUACGUAAAAAAAAAAAAAAAGAAAAAAAAGAAAAAAAAAGAUCAUUGCUUGUGUUAAAAAUAUUUCUUUUUUGAGUUGUGAGAGAACUGACCAAUUGCCCCAUCCUCGGAUUUCGCACACCCUGAGAAACCUUGGAUUGGAGCUGGAGAUCCACAAACUCCUUGAAAUUUGUAUGCGGAAGUUUGUGCAGAUGUGCAUUCCUGAGGGGUUGGGGAGCCGUCGCUAGCAGGUUUUUCUCUGUGGGCCAUGACUCCAGAGGCUAUUAAGAGCCACAAUUCCUUGAUGCCACAGGGAGGAAACUGAGGCCUACGUGUCAUUUGGGACCCUUCGCAACCCAUUUAAACACCCUUGUUUGAGUCCCUGGGAUUAUGUGAGCUGUUUCUAUGCAUAACAGAUAUUGGGGGGUAACCAGUGCUCCCCUGCUUGGCUUCUAUUCCGAAUCCCUUCUUUCCGCCACGGGGUUCUUAAAGGGUAGCUGAUGCGUAUAUAUAUGGUACAGUAGCACCCAAGGUAAAGCAGCUACAAGAGGAGAGGAUAUGUUCUGUAGAAUCAAGAAGUUCGUUUAAUCUUCUUUGACCCAGCAAAUCCUUUGUGUUCCGCUGUUUAUACUGGUGCCUGACCACCUUUCCCCAUUCUUUAUUGACCUCCCUCCCCCCCAGUGACUGUGUUUGCCACCUGUUCCUUGCUCUUAUUUUGUCUCCCUGGUCUGUGUGGUUGGUAGUGAACAGGCUUACUUUCAGCGGGUGCUGCCAAGCCCAACAAAUACUGAUGCACGGGGAUUUUGUGUUUGGUUUGCAAACGUGCUCACUGGAACAGACUGAACCUGGCAUGGAAUUCCUGAAGAUGUGUUUGGGGGGGAUUUUCUUUAUUUAAAGUUAACCUUCUUUGAAAAGUUGUAUUAGAACUGCUGAACUUCAAGAUCACCAGAUUUGGAAGUUAUUCCAAAUCUUUAACUUUCCCUCAACCUGCCUUGUAUUCUUAUUGCUUGUGUGAUGAUUCAGAUGGCCAAAAUGCCAAUUUUUGCUUCUGUGUUAAUUGUCAGCUGCUUUUAUCAAAUUCCAGGCCAUUAUCCAGUAAACACUAUUACAAAAAUGUUUGAACGGUUGGAUUUCAAACAUUUUCACUUUGUGGAGUGGUGCUUAGCAAGUGGUACAGCUCUAAGCAAGUGAACACAGACACAUUUCAGUGUAUUUUGUCUGAUUGGAAAUUAGCCAAUUCUGCUAUUUUGUUCAAACAUCUGAAAAAAGUAUCAGUUGGCUUAUCCCCUUUAUCUAAAGGGCAAAGACAAAUUAUCUCAAUUCCAGAGAAAUGACUGUGUUGGAGAAAAAUGUGUUGGUCUUUUAGCUGUUUUGUAAUUUAAUCUGGAUGUACCUCAAAAGAACCUUAAAAGUGUGGUGAUAAGGUGCUUUCCUCAAGAGAAACGAGGAAAUAAGCAACUGGAACUCAAAAGCUUGAAAUUCUGAGACAGAACACAACAUGUCCAGGAUUGGGAUUUGAAAAGGUUUUUGCUGCAGCAUUCUACAGCAGUUGAAGCAGAUAUCUUUCAGUGCAGCCGCAGUGAGCAACGACAGAUUUUCAAGAACUUGACCCAGAACCCAGAAGAGUUUGUCGGGUACUGGCAGGAACUCUGGAGGUAGAUUCUUUUUGUGGCGGGAACAGGGACUGUUGACCUUGCUGUGAGAAAAGAAGCAACAACUGAGCAACACUGCCACCAGCGCCAUUUGAAGACCUGAGUUUCUGUCCAGACUCAGUGCACACUGAUGACACUCCAUCCAAAGUGAAUUACGUCAUGUGCCUCCUCUGAUUGCUGAGUGUUCACGUGGACCUUCUGAUCACCUUCCUUGUGCUGUUCCAUUGGCCUACAAAUCUGGUACUGGAUUUUUACCCAUGGUGAUUUCUACCACCUUACUACUGAUGAAGACACCAUUCCAGCGGACCACUGUGAUCCAAGAGGCAUUCAGCCAUCAUGAUGUGGCCUUUACCUCCACUCCUGUCUUGUUCCACACAGAUUCAGCACAGCCUUUUAUAGUCUUGUCAGAGUCCUCAAGCCAAAUAGCUGAAAUGAUUUCAUCACAAGGAACCAAUUUGUUGCAUAAAUAUGCAUUUCGUUUCUUCAGUUAAAUCCUUCAGAGACACAUAAGUUUGGAUCAGGGGAUUUUUUUUUUUUUUUAAGUUGUCUACGCUGUCCGAAGAAGGCAAACUCUGUGAACAGCAUUGGAUCCUAUUCCACAGUAUCAAAUGAUUGAAGUUCAUGAACUGGGAUUCCAUCAAGGUCACUAGACCCUGUUCAUUCUCUAUAACUGUAGUAGCCUAUUGAAUAAGAAAGCAGAAAUUCUGACCCAUUGGAAUCAAAACAAAGGCACAGUGAACUCAACACCCUCUUCGGGAUUACUCAGGAACCAGAACUGAUUUUCACACAAAUUAUAAGAAAUUCUACCAAGGAAUCCCUUUUGCCAGACAGCAUUUCACAAGCCUCCAAUCAGAUUCCAGAAAAGACCUCUUGAUACAUCAAGGUGAAACCUAUAUGCAUUUUGUGAACAGCUUACUCUUAGAUCAUUGGUUUUCCAAAGGCUUUGUAACCAUGAUGCCCUUUGAAUGAAAAGUUUACAGAAGCCCAGAAUAAAAGUGAAGCUCUUCUGGGUGAAGCAGUGAAGCAGUAAUGUGGCCUUGAAACCUGCCAAAAGCAUCUUUACCACCGUGGUGACACCUAUGGGGACUUCUUAGAACGUCUAAUACUCUUCAGAACACAGUUUGAAAACCACUGCCCUAAGAUAACAUUGUUGACCUGAAUGACAUUAUGAUGUUUUCUAUACCUCUACUCAACUUGCUCCUUGACUAGUCGAUGCUGUACAUUGUUAGGAAUACUUACUGUGUGCAAUCUUAGAAAAGUUGCAAGAAGAUGAACAUGAACUCAACAUUAAGGAACUUUUCUCACACCAGAAGUUCUAGUGGUACUUGCAGUAAUGACGUUGAAGUCUUGGCCCUUCAGGAUACUAGUAUUGAAGCUGAUACCUCAUUGAGGCCAUCUUAGACCAGCUUGUACAUUGGACCUCUCAUCAUCAGCCAUAGUACUCUACUUCAUGUGCAAGGGAGACCCAUUAAUGAUGAAAGCAGAAUUGCAGUGUUGGCAACAUUUUCUAAAGUGGCUUAAUGCCUGAUUAUUUUUUCAGACUACAACUUGCUACAUGAUUGAACUAGUGGCAGUUACACUAUUUUUUGUUCAGUUUAACUGCUGUUUCCAAGAUAAAUUACCUAAUUACUUUAAACCAAAAUAAUUCCUCCAUCACUGUUAUAUCUGUCCAUUCUACAAAAUUGUGGCUAUUCGUAACUGCUGCUCCUCAAGAGACAAUCUUUGAACAUCCCCUCUCACGUGUGAUUAAAAUGUACAUUUGGAAAGUUUCCUUUGGGAGAUGUUCUUUCAAGGUGCAACUUGAUGUCUGAUAACAACUACAUGUGGGUAGGGAUAAAUGGAGGAAGUCCCUUUGACCAAGCCAUGAUAGCUUGCUUGCUGGUCAUUUUUAAAUACUUGUAUAUAUGUGGGGUUUUUUUUGUUGUUUUUUUGUUUUUUCUGGAAACACAAACUGACUUGAAAUCUAUAAAGAUUGCAGCUAAGAAUUUUCAGUAGGGCUAAGAUCUAUCAUUGUGGAUGUUUAAAGGAAACACAUCUGUCUCAAUACUGUUAUUUUAAACUGAUUGAAAGCAACUGACUCUAAUCUUUGGCAAGAAAUCAUGCUUAGAGAUUAAAUCAACUAAACUUUCUGCAAGAAGGAUUCACUUGAACUCUCAGACCAAAUCAUGUUGAACAGAGACUAAUUUAUAAGAAAAGUUACAUUCCUUCAGUCAACUUAAGGGCCAGCUGUCCUCAACUACUCUGUUGAAUGCACUGGUCAAAUACGGGAAUGGUUUCUUUAUAUACUUUCUCCUGAUCCUCUGGACUAAGUGUUGGGUAUGUGAUUCACUGCAAAUCAUCAAGCAAGGCCUAGGUCUGGUUGUUCUAGAUUACUCACCUUCAACAAAUGAAAAUAAAAUAUGAAUGACUAGCCUGUUCGGAUAUACAAAUCUCAUUUGUAAAAGGGGGAAAAAAGGCUUCUAUAGACUCCAUUUCUGCUACCUUCAAAUUGCCAGCUGUUUUUCCUCUGCUUUUCCUGUACAAAAGAGACAGUGACCUACUACUCAUUCCCUCCAGUCCUGCUAUGUUCUGUUAAAAUGAGAGUUUGAAUCAUCAAAAAUAAUGUUUUAAAAAUUUGAUAAUCAUUUGCUCAAGUGUCUAAUGUAUACUGUGCAUAAGAAUAUAUGUGUGUAAUGAUUGGAAAAGCAGAAUUCCUAGAAGUUAGUGAAGCCUACCUAGUAUCGCUGCCUCAGAUAUCAUCUAACCUUUUAAUAGCACCAUUCAGAUACUCUGAGGCCUUGACUUAUAACUUGAUUCUCAGAGAUGGGCUUACUUACAGAAAAUGAAGACUUGCUACCAAAGAAAGUAAGGCCAACUUUGACAAACCUGGCUCUGCCAACCCUGUUCCUGGAUGUAGCAUAGAUUCCUAAACCUCAAGUCUAGAUUGGAAAUAUGGCCUUCUCCAGAAAGUUUCUGGGUAGAUGAGGAAAAUUAAGCUGCUCUACCUGACUGGCCCUUUAAAGUCAGAAACUUUUAUCCAGAGGAAGUUCUACAAAUUAACCCUGGACUCCCCAGGGUAAAAACUGAUUUAUAGAGCUUCAUUAUUUGCCUGUUCUUCCAGGUCAUUUCCUGGCUUUUGGUAUGGCUGGCCUUACUCGAGUUACCUUGCUUGUAUGUUUACCCAACUCAGCUGUUGCCUGCCAUUUUUAACACAUUGCUGCCAUCAGACUGAGCAUGAGAAGACUGCAGCCCAUUUCAGCCUAUCGUGCCCAAUUCCACCAAGAAUUUUUGAACAGAAAAAACCCACUCUUCACCCUGCCAGGACAUAAGGUUCACAACAGUAAAAACCAUUCUAUACGUUCCUUGACCAGUAAUUUUUUUUUUAACUGUCAAGUAAACCUCUAUACCUAACUGUGUUUGAGCAUCAGCACUUGGAACCUCUUCUACUAAAUCAAAACCAGUGUCCAUGUCUCUGCUACAGUGAUAAAAGAACCUGAUUCACCAGUCCUUCCUUACAGAACUACCAGUUUGAUUUGGCAAAAGACUUAAAGAAACACAACCAUACUACACUGAGCUUACAAUUAUUGCUGACUCUAAUAACUUCACAGUACUAUUUACUGGUUGGAGGUUAGUUGUCCUCAUCAAGAAGACAGUUGGGGUCUCAGCUCAUGAAAUGCUUUUACUGGAAUUCACUGUCAUCUAAAGAAUGUUACUGAAGAUGAUAUUUUCAUCCAAGUGGACUGCAGGCUUCCUAAAGAAGGACAAAUCCUCUGUGGUUCUUUUUGUUUGUUUGUUUUAGAAUUUUACUAGGAAGAAACAGUGCCAGCAUUACCAUUCACCUUCCUAAUCAGUUUUUAAGUGCAUUCAGUAUCUGGUCUUAUCCUGGACUUGAAAUUUUUUUAAUUGCUCAGUAUUCAUUCCAUCCUACUGUAACAGCUCCCUGGUGUUUCUUGAAACCACCUCUUCAGUUUUGCAGUCCAUGUACGUUAUAGACGGUCUCACCCAAACUUGAGCUUCAUUAACACAGACAUGUGAUUUAAUCAUCAGAUUCAUCUCCUUGACCAUAGUCAUUGGUUCCAGAAUGCUCAUGUGAUUCAAGUUGGUCCAGUGAUGCUCAAUUCUGGGAUUUUACUGAAUUGUGGAGAUGGAAAAAUGCUCCACUGAGAUACUACAGCUAUGGAGAAUGAUAAACCAACAGGGCUUACCACGUUGAAUGAGCCAGUCAGAGAAUGAAGCCGCACAGAGGAAAGCAGAACCAAAAGAUGGAGAGAGACUUGAGUCCUGAUGACUACAUUUGUGCCCCUGGAUCCAACCGUGCCUGAAGCUAGUAUAUCCCCUGGACUUUUCAGUUAUGUGACCCAAUAAAUAUCUUUUUUUUUUGCUUAA